rnacentral:rRNA from 1 species
UACGUAGGGUGCAAGCGUUAAUCGGAAUUACUGGGCGUAAAGCGUGCGCAGGCGGUUAUUUAAGCCAGAUGUGAAAUCCCCGGGCUUAACCUGGGGACUGCAUUUGGGACUGGAAGGCUAGAGUAUGGCAGAGGGGGGUGGAAUUCCACGUGUAGCAGUGAAAUGCGUAGAGAUGUGGAGGAACACCGAUGGCGAAGGCAGCCCCCUGGGCCUAUACUGACGCUCAUGCACGAAAGCGUGGGGAGCAAACAGG